rnacentral:rRNA from 1 species
UACGUAGGUGGCAAGCGUUGUCCGGAUUUACUGGCGUAAAGAGCGCGCAGGCGGUCGUUCAAGUCGCGUGUGAAAGCCCCCGGCUCAACUGGGGAGGGUCACGCGAUACUGAUCGACUCGAAGGCAGGAGAGGGUAGUGGAAUUCCCGGUGUAGUGGUGAAAUGCGUAGAUAUCGGGAGGAGCACCAGUGGCGAAGGCGACUACCUGGCCUGUUCUUGACGCUGAGGCGCGAAAGCUAGGGGAGCAAACGGG